CAUCCGCUCCACUAGGCGGCGUGAGCGGGCUUCACUGUCAGAGCGACUCCUUUGGAUCCUUGGCAACAUUGACGCUUGAUGACAGACGCUACAACAUGUGCAGAUGACAGAUAAUUAAUAUCACACAACUGGACAUAUUUCAGCAAAUAAACCGACAUACAGUCCGAUAAAAGGCGGGAAUCGAGUGUCAUUUAACUCCGCGAAGGAAUGUGUUUGGACCAUUACAUCCAGUCAACAGAAGCAGAGCUCUGAGUUGUGUGACAGACAUUGACUGUAAUGAUGGACUUCUGCUCAUGGACAGCAUAACCCCUGCUGCUGACUGUGCCGGAAGCUCCGGGGGGAGACCGCUUUGGUAUCCCCCUCCUUUGGGCGCGCCACUCACACCACAUACACUCCUAUCGCAGAGACCCGGCUGGGAUUGAACCAGCAACCUCUGAACCCGUGAGGCAGCACUCUUACCCGUGAGCCACAGAUCUCUUGUCUGUUCAUGUGAAGGAACUUGUAUUUCACUGUUAUCCUGAGAGUUUCCAAUAAAGCAGUUAAAGUG